GUGCUUUGGAUGGGUCCAUCUCAUACUACCAAAAUCAGUCCUUUGCGCAAGUGCCAGCACUUCUCGUGCGACCUUUAACAUAAAUGUUAUCAUCAUGUGCAAAACCUUGAUAUAAUGUUUUCCAACAGCUGGUUAAACUUAACAAUUAACCAUAACACUGUUAUGAAUGGUACAGUUUCAUGGUGACCGAGUCAGAUUCUCAUAAUUUUUUAUUAUAUAUUUUUUAUUUAUAUAUACAUUAUUUGUGGCGCUGCUUAUUAAUUGGGCAGGUAACAUUUACUUAGCUGAUCAAGAUAUUCCAUGCUGUUGUUCAACACAAAAGUUCAUGGUCAUCAUCAAAACAAAUACUGCUUCAAACCAGUUUACAGAUCCACAUAUACUCUUCUUGCAUGAAGUUCUCCAACAAGCAUAUUAAACACAUUUAUUAUUUUGCUUAUAAACACUAUGUGCCCAUUCCUUCUCAACCUUCUUGAGUUAAUCAUCCUGACAUUCCCACAUGAAUAUUAUUAGUUGUGAAGCUCCUUAUUAUGUCAAUUUUGAGACAGUAUAAUAAAAUAGCUUUUUUAUGAUGCGGUAUUGUCAACCUUGUGCCCAAAUCCACCAUACUAAGGACAGCCCUGUUUUCCUUGUUAUGUAAAUUUUAAGGCAGUAUAAUAGAAUUUGUAUUAAAAUAUAUUUUUUAUAGUGUGGUGUCUUCAACUCUCCCACACAGAGGAUAUUCCUUUGCUAGGUGGCUGUUAUAUGUAUAACUGCUCUGCAUGUCUAGAGGCAUUCUUCUUUGUCCACUAUCCGAUGACAAGUUACUCACUUAACAUAGCAUAUUAAAUAACCACAAAUGGUUUAAUACUAAUUAAUGUUAAUAUGCAGUAAAAUUUGUUAUGAUCUGUUUCAUAAUGUCUUGGCAUUAAAAAAGGCCUUUGUUGUGGUAGGACAAUUUUCUUGUCCCAAACUGCUUAAAGUUAUGUUUAUUUUAUUUUGCGUAGAGUUCCAUUGUUGAUUGACUGUGUAGCAUGUAUGAGAUUAAUCAUUGUUAACCACAAUUGCCAUAAAUGUUGGAGAACAUUAAAUGGAGGUUUUUAUGUUAGCUCAGUAUAUAACAUUUUUAUGCUGUCACAGAAUGGAAAUAUGUUCAUGCUUUCAUUCCAAGAAUUCUUAUAAAACUUUGGACAUGCAAUACAUUUGCACCCCCAGAUAGACUGUAGAAAUUAAUAUUGUUUUGUACAGAGUUUAUAUAAUUAAAAUGUAGUUUUUUAUUGAAUGUUAAUAGUGUAGUGCAUAUAUUUUUGCUCGUAUUUUUGUGUUGCCAUUUUAAGCAUCUGUUUAUCUUGUAACUUUGCAUGAAGUGCCCUUUUUUUUAAGGAUAUCCCUUUAUUCUGUGUUAAGCCUAAAAUAUGUAGCUGUAUUUAUUAAUGAUUAAUACUCAAAGGCUGAUUUUAAAGUCAAUGUUAACUAAGAAAUGUGAUUUAUACUAGAAACCCCAUUUUAUAUCAGCCAUAAAAUCCUUUAAAGUGUGAGUGGUAUGUAAAUAUAAUCACCUUUACCCUGCAGACCAUUUCAGAAUAAUGCGAUGAUUUUUAUAGAUAACAUUAAAAUAUAAGUGAAAAGUAAUAUUCAAAUUGUUAGACUAUGUAAACUUUUAUGAGGAGAAAUUGCACUGGGCCGAUGUAUUUCAGCUCUAAAACUUGUAAAACAUAGAAAUGUGUGAUGAUGUUGCUCUUCUGGGUUUUGAUGCUGUGUGAACUUGUGGGUAGAUGCCAACAAUUCAGAGAAACAUACUGUCCCUAUCUUCAGGCCUUGCCUGUGAGUCACAACCUAGAAGACCAACAUUUUCAUCUUCACCACUGUGAGAACUUAAAAUCUCACAUAGAAAUGAUUGUAAUGUGUAGCCUCUUUGUAAUUUAUUUUGUAUAACUAAUUCAAUGUUGCAGGUAACACUCAGAGUCAGAAUUCUACUUCAUCCCUUUCAGGCUCAAAAAAAAGAAAGGAACUUAAUUUUCUCAUGUUCCCCAAGUUUUGUUGCAUUCUUGUUCUGCACAGUUUUCCUUUCAAGACAGAAAGGGCCAUGAUCUAAAUUAGGAGUAAAUAAUUAAAACUUUGGUAUUUAAUUCUGCUAGUUUCCUUAGUACAUAUAACUACACUGAAAGUAUCAAAUAUGGUUUUCUUUGGUCAUGUGCAAGUAAAGUAAUUUCAUAGUACAAAUAUCUUUACUUAACACUAUUAAAAUCCUUCUUAUUUCAAGAUAUCUUAUUGAAGUGCAGUCUGCGGUAUAAUUAAUGUACAUGGAAUUUCAGAAGUUGGAUCUAAUAACUUCAUCAGAUUGACAGUUAUUGUAGCGUUUUAACAUGCACACUGACAGUUGGGAACUAUCAAUGUAUGUUUACUUGUAUUAAACACCUACUUUUGGAAAUUUUUUAUGUUUUGUAAGGUUUAGCAAUUGUUCAUGUAGUCUGUGCUGCAGUCGGUAGAAGUCUGUUACAGACUUGUUUGAUAGGGAACAUUUUAGGCUACUUGUAAAAAGAUGAAUUCUGUAAAUUGUAAAUGUUUGAAUUGUUUAUAGCUUUGGCUUUCAGGGAUAAGCCAUGUCAACUGUUGAAGUCUUUAUUUUUCAGCACAUAUUGCAGUUGCUAACUUUAGAUUGAACUUUGGGGUGGAGGGGGGUAGGAAACCCUUUGUUCAGCUGUGGAAGGUGUUUGAUGUGAUUGGGCAAGCAGAGGAUCAGGUUUUAUUCAAUGGAGGUGAACUUCAAAUUAAAUUUGCUAAAUUGUCUCUUGGAUGCCUGGGUUACAGGGAUAAUUUGAUGUGUUUUCAAUCAUGUAAUUUUGAUGAACAUAAGUGGAUACUAAAUCCAUGUAGUUUUAAGCUAGCAUACAAGGUAAGUGGUCAGUCAUCCUGGGAUGGACCAUCACUCUUGCUAAACAGUACUGUAGCACUCGGUCACCUGAAGAGUGGAGAUCGAGCUUCCAAAGUGCCGCACAGCCUCAAACAAUCUUGAUUCAUGAAUGAAUCCACCAGUGUUACACAAGGACCUUCUAAUGCUUCACUGAUGUAGUGAUGAGGGUGUUUGGAUUGAAGAGCAAAGAUAAGAGAUCUUUCUAAUGAUCAUAAUACCAACAAACAGUUGCAUCAGAAUGCGGUCUGAAUAAAACACCUCAUCCUUACAACAUAUCAAGCUUUUCAGUAUCAUAUUUGGCUGUAGCUGAGUGCCUCAAAUUUAGUACAUCGUAACAUUAAAUUUUAGUUUACAUGCUGGAUUAUUACUUCUCCUUUGCUGCCCCACCCCUUUAUCUGUUUCAGUACACAUUUCUUUGUAUUGAUAAUAUUUUAAAGAACCUAAAGCCAAUUUACCUUAAGGUUUCUGCCUCAUACAGUCCUUCCCUGUGUAAUGCAUAAUAAAAUGUAGUACAUAGUGACUAAAAACUUAUAACAAAACAGACUGAAUAUAAAGUAGUAAAUUUAUUUUUAUUAUUAAUGUUUUAAAAUUUUGGAAGAUAGUCAGGGAAUCCUCCGUUGAGUAAUAUAAUUUGAUUUUGAUGUCAUAAGCUGACACUUUGCAAUUUUGACUCUUAGUUCUGAUAUUCUUCCAGUUUAUUGGUGACAGUGCUGAUAGUUUUCUCAUGUCAUCAGGGGAAAAUAAUGACAUAAUUUACCACAGACAGUUCUAUUUCCUAAUCUUGGAACAUUUUUUCUUCUUCUCAUAUUGAUUUUGAGUCUCACAUUUAUAGAAAUCAGUUCCCAGGAUCUUAAUCUGUAACAUUUUAUCUGCAUUUGUGGCUAGCCCAUGGCAAAACCCCUGGAUUGAGGGAAAUAUGGUGAUUCAUAGAGUGAUUGGUAGUAAUGGUAAAUGCACAAAAAUCAUGCAUGAGCAUGCCUUGAGUCACACAGUUCUAGUGUUACUUGUAAUAUUUUACCUGUUGUAGUGUGGUACACAUUGGCUACACUUCUUGAAUCUAUCUCUGCCUGUAACCUCUUCUUUAUGCAGUUUGCAAAAUUAACUUCCUGGUAUGGACUUCUGGCUUUCAAUUUCCAGUAGAGGCCUAAGGUCUCUUCUCUACCAUGUCCAGAAUAACUCCUGGGCCCUCCCAGACAUGUCUUUAAUGGAUACCAGCAGUUAUUUCCUUGGUGUAAGAGCAUAAGGUGAUGAUUUAGCUUCCUUUGUUAUCAAGGUACAGAAUAUCCAUCUUUGUGGCAUAAUUAAUAGUAGCCAUUGUUGGUUCUGUUUGACCUAAACGUAUGAUAAAUUAACAGCUGAUAGAACAAGAUGUCAUCUGCAUAGAUGCUAUUAGGCAAUGUGAACUGAUCUGAAAAUGGAGGACUGAAAAGUGUUCGGUAGUGGUCGGACUUCUAAAUUACAUUUCUAGCUGACCAUUUAAAAGUCUGCACGUGUUUAAUUUUUCUUUUCUUACAAUAUAUGCAUUAUGUUCUAUAUACUACAUAAUUACAACAAAUUACAUCUUAGUCAAUUUGCAGUUCUUUCAUUGUGUUGCUUUUAAUCUUGCUGCUACUGAUAUGAGGUGUGUUGUGUAUGACUAUAGCCUAGAAUACAGUCUUGAUAAAAUCACAGUAGCAGGAUAUGUUCAUGUCAUAAUAAAAAGGACCAAAAAUGAUACCUGAUCAGAAUAAUGUUACAGAAAUUUAGUAAUUCAUUAGAUUCUUUAUACGCUUAGAAAAUCUAAAAACUUAAGUGUUUAAUUCCUUCAAUGACCAAUUGAGACUACACAAUAAAAAUUCACUUUCUUUUCCCACCUCUCCAUAUUUAGUUGUAUAAUAUAUGUUUCAGCACAUGUAUAAUUCUUAAUAUUUAUAUAAUAUACUUUAUUCUUGCAUUAAUGGUAGUCUGGAACCAAUGCAUGGGCAUAACUGUACCAUGGUUAUUUUCCUUUCUAAAGCUCUUUUAUUUUGUUUAAUUAUUCCACAUGCAAGCAAGUUACAUAUAUAUUUUGAAUUUAUAUUGCUAAGUCUUUAUAUGUAUCAUGUAUACAGUUGGGGAAGAAAAUGCAUCAUUAUGGUUAAAUGACAAUACACCAAACGGUGUUUCCUUUGAAAACAAUUUCACCAAUUGAUGUGAUUGAAACUAAUAAUUAUUUUUAAACUGAAAUGUUGAAAUACUUAUUAGUUUUAUUAUCUUCAUGUAACUCAUGGGAUUAUGUAAGUCAUUUCUUUUAUUAAAAAUGGCACAUUAUAUGUUACAGAUUAAUAUUUUAUUAUAAUUAUAUUAGUUUUUCACUCUCACCAGCAUUGAACUUGUGAUUGUUGCCUAUUUGGGUCUGGGUCCAUGAUAUGCCCUUUUAAUAAUGCCUACAUGGCGUAUAGUGGGACAAACUUUACUUUUUUACUUAUGUAGAAAUUAAAAACUGCUGAAUUUUGAAGUCCAUACACAUUAGUUUGAUCAGCCUAUUUCUCCGGGGAAUUUAAGAAGGCACCCUGAAAGAAUAUUGUGUUUAAAUCCGUAGUAAAUUUGUCUCACAUUUCAAAAUGUAGGUGUAAAAUUAUAAUGUUUUUAUAUGCAUUUAAUUGUAACUGGACCCUGGUAUAUCCAGUCUCAUGAAGUAAGUGCUGUUAAUAAUGUCUAUUUAUUUACUUCAUUGUUUGAGAGAGUUCAGUAUAGUUAUCAGAAGUUAGUGCAUCCACUUACUUUUGUAAGGUUAUGGUAUGUUUCAGAUUUUAGCAAAAUAUUGGCAAUGUACAUACAUGAAUUUACAGAGACUGGAGGUUGAAAAGAGAUAAACAAAUUUUAAUGGAUUAAUAUAUCCACACAAAGAAUAAAAUGAAAUUGUAUGAGAGAUGUUAUGUUAUACGUAUCUGACAUUUCAAAUAUUGUACAAGUGUGAAAACUGUUAUUCAAAAAUAAAGUGAAAUGUAUUUAACUGAA